AGAUCUGAGGGCAAUCUGGCUGUGACAUCUGUCACCCCAUUGAUCGCCAGAGUUGAUUCGGCUGAUCUGGCUGGCUAGAUGGGUGUCUGCUUCCUCCCUCACUGCUCCAUGCGCAUCCCUCCUGAAUCUGCAUGCUCAAUCGAAAAGGAUGACCUUCCCCGAUAAAGGAGAGGACUGUUUUUCGGUCAAGGUAUGCAAGUAGCCGUGCUCCCCUGCUAGAACCUCCAAACAAGCUCUCAGGAAGAAGUUUGUUUUAUUUUGUUUUCAGGGAAAGAUAAAAAGACAUAAAAGUGGAGGAAACAUUUGGAGCCAAGGCGCAAAAGUAUGAAUAUUUAUGUUGUAUUCU
ensembl:misc_RNA 7SK 7SK RNA